AUAUAUAUAUAUAUAUAUAUAUAUAUAUAUAUAUAUAUAUAUAUAUAGAAAGAAAUUGUUCAAACAGUGUAAAAAAUGUGUAUCUUAUACCCUAGCGCUUUCGACUACACGUCUUCUUCAGGGGUGUAUACAGAUAUGAGUUAACGAUUCCCCAGUGCGAAUGCACAAUAGAGAUUAACUUAUUGGCUUUCAGUCUUGUUUUUUUUUAGUUAUGUGUCGUUUUAUUUUGCAUGCCCCCCUUCGAAGAAGAGGGGGUAUAUUGCUUUGCUCAUGUCGGUCGGUUGGUCUGUCGUUCCGUCCACCAGGUGGUUGUCAGAUGAUAACUCAAGAACGCUUGGGCGAUCAUGAAACUUCAUAGGUACAUUGAUCAUGACUCGCAGAUGACCCCUAUUGAUUAUGAGGUCACUAGGUCAAAGGUCAAGGUCACGGUGACCCGAAAUAGUAAAAUGGUUUCAGGAUGAUAACUCAAGAACGCUUAUGGCUAGGAUCAUGAAACUUCAUAGGUACAUUAAUCAUGACUGGCAGAUAACCCCUAUUGAUUUUGAGGUCACUAGGUCAAAGGUCAAGGUCACGGUGACCCGAAAUAGUAAAAUGGUUUCCCGAUGAUAACUCAAGAACGCUUAUGGCUAGGAUCAUGAAACUUCAUAGGUACAUUGAUCAUGACUCGAAGAUGACCCCUAUUGAUUUUCAGGUCACUAGGUCAAAGGUCAAGGUCACUGUGACAAAAAACAUAUUCACACAAUGGCUGUCACUACAACUGAGAGCCCGUAUGGGGGGCAUGCAUGUUUUACAAACAGCCCUUGUUUAUUUAUAUAUUUAUGCAUAUUUAAAUUGUGUUAUAGACUGACGCCCGUAAUAUAAAUUAUAUCGAUGUUAUAAUGAAAAAUAUUAUAAUUUGCAGUGAACGUUUUGCAUUCAGUAUUGUGUCAUAUUUAUUCUUCGUUUUAUGAUUAUGUACAUACACUUAUUAAAAUUGUGUGUUAUAAAAUGGCGCUUACAAUGUUUAUUAUAUCGAUUUAACAUUUAAAUGAUUAAAAUGGAAGUUAGAAUUUA